rnacentral:tRNA from 1 species
GGGCCCUUAGCUCAAUCGGUAGAGCGGACGCCUUUUAAGCGUUAGGUCGCGGGUUCAAAUCCCGCAGGGCCCACCA